AAGUCGUAACAAGGUUUCCGUAGGUGAACCUGCGGAAGGAUCAUUAAAUGAUAGUACUGGCCCAAAGGUGUGGUAAUACAUGCCUGUGGGCUUCACGUCUAUUACCCUUGUUUUUCGAGUACCUAUGUUUCCUUGGUGGGCUUGCCCACCAAUUGGACACCCUAUUGAACCUUUUUAAUUUUUAAUCAGCGUCUGAAUAAACAUAAUAAUUACAACUUUCAACAACGGAUCUCUUGGUUCUGGCAUCGAUGAAGAACGCAGCGAAAUGCGAUAAGUAGUGUGAAUUGCAGAAUUCAGUGAAUCAUCGAAUCUUUGAACGCACAUUGCGCCCCUUGGUAUUCCAUGGGGCAUGCCUGUUCGAGCGUCAUUUGUACCCUCAAGCUAUGCUUGGUGUUGGGUGUUUGUCCUCUCCAUUGCGUUUGGACUUGCCUUAAAGCAAUUGGCAGCCAGUGUUUUGGUUUUAAGCGCAGCACAUUUUGCGUCUUACUCCCUUGAAUACUAGCAUCCAUUAAGCCUUUUUAUCACUUUUGACCUCGGAUCAGGUAGGGAUACCCGCUGAACUUAAGCAUAUCAAUAAGCGGAGGAAAAGAAACCAACAGGGAUUGCCCUAGUAACGGCGAGUGAAGCGGCAACAGCUCAAAUUUGAAAUCUGGCUCUUUCAGAGUCCGAGUUGUAAUUUGCAGAGGGCGCUUUGGCGUUGGCAGCGGUCCAAGUUCUUUGGAACAGGACGUCACAGAGGGUGAGAAUCCCGUACGUGGUCGCUAGACUUCGCCGUGUAAAGCCCCUUCGACGAGUCGAGUUGUUUGGGAAUGCAGCUCUAAAUGGGAGGUAAAUUUCUUCUAAAGCUAAAUACUGGCCAGAGACCGAUAGCGCACAAGUAGAGUGAUCGAAAGAUGAAAAGCACUUUGGAAAGAGAGUCAAAUAGCACGUGAAAUUGUUGAAAGGGAAGCGCUUGCAGCCAGACUUGCCUGUAGUUGCUUAUCCAGACUUUUGUCUGGUGCACUCUUCUGCGGGCAGGCCAGCAUCAGUUUGGGCGGUUGGAUAAAGGUCUCUAUCACGUACCUCUCUUCGGGGAGGCCUUAUAGGGGAGACGCCAUGCAACCAGCCCAGACUGAGGUCCGCGCAUCUGCUAGGAUGCUGGCGUAAUGGCUGUAAGCGGCC
rnacentral:rRNA from 1 species